AGAGCGAACGCUGGCGGCAGGCCUAAUACAUGCAAGUCGAACGCACCUUCGGGUGAGUGGCGGACGGGUGAGUAACACGUGGGAACGUGCCCUUUGGUUCGGAAUAAUCCGGGGAAACCUGGCCUAAUACCGGAUGUGCCCUUCGGGGGAAAGAUUUAUCGCCAUUGGAGCGGCCCGCGUCUGAUUAGCUAGUUGGUGGGGUAAAGGCCCACCAAGGCGACGAUCAGUAGCUGGUCUGAGAGGAUGAUCAGCCACACUGGGACUGAGACACGGCCCAGACUCCUACGGGAGGCAGCAGUAGGGAAUCUUGCGCAAUGGGCGAAAGCCUGACGCAGCCAUGCCGCGUGAAUGAUGAAGGUCUUAGGAUUGUAAAAUUCUUUCAGCGGGGAAGAUAAUGACUGUACCCGCAGAAGAAGCUCCGGCUAACUUCGCGCCAGCAGCCGC
rnacentral:rRNA from 1 species